AAUCUGUUAUCUGUCCCAUCUGUGAGCAUUUUAUUUGACGGAUCCAGUUUGCAAUGUUGAAGGAUGCCAUUUGCUAAACGAACAUUCAUCGAUUUUUGGUAAGUCAAAUUGAUUUUGAACAUCGCAAACGAGAUACAUGGUCUUGGUAGUUUCACAGUCAAUACUUAUCAUGCACUCUUCCUACAAUGGAGCAGAUGCUGCAGGUAUUUUUCAAGGACAUUCUCCUACUUGCCUUCAAAUUACAGCCAAAACUGGAUGCUUUUAAAUCAAAAUAGGAUUUAUUUAGGAUUUUAUUUCUAAUUACAGGUGCAACCGAUCUGCAGGAAGCAUGUAAAAACAUCAAUAUCUUGUGACUGCCCAACUUGUUAUGACUAAUCUGUUAUCUGUCCCAUCUGUGAGCAUUUUAUUUGACGGAUCCAGUUUGCAAUGUUGAAGGAUGCCAUUUGCUAAACGAACAUUGAUCUAUUUUUGAUUACUGAGGUUUUGCAUUCAAAAGCUCCCUUCUUCCAUGUGACUGAGCAUUGCUGCAAUGCCAUAAAGGCUUACGCUAUUGUCAAGUUCAUUCUGGCUUCAAGAAAUGUGCCUUGAUCUUGUUCAUAUUUUCGUUUACCCUUCAUCAAUUCUUCAAUUCUCUAUUUUAUUCCUCAGUGCAAGAUGUGCCUGUGAUUACUUUCAUCCUGGAAUAGCUUUAAUAAAAAAAAUGACUUGUGGCUUGCUUUAUUGUUUUUAACAUGGAUUUCCAAUUCCAAUCUCCUCUGUCAAUUUUUGAGAAUAGAAUAGAAUAGAAAUCACUUUAUUCGUUAAAAAUGCGCAAAAAGGCAAACAAACGGGUCAACUUAGAUUAAACUUAAAACUAACAUUCAAAAUUAGAUAAAUGCAUAAUAGUUAAAUUGGACAAUUCUUCAAGUGAAUUAGAUUGAAUAUGUAAACUUCUACACCAGUUCUCUAACUGCGUAGAAUUCUUUCUCCACUAGGAAUUCAGUUAUCAAUUUUGAGAAUUUUUGCAAUUCUGUGUUAACAUCAAUUUUUAAAUCCUUGCAUUGUAACACAGUAAACAUUGCUUUACAUACUCGUUUUCUCUUGGUGUUAUGAACUUAUUUAAUUUCUUGUGUUAAAAUUGUGCUGAUCUGAUAAUUUUGUAUCUGAGAUUCCUUUAAUAUAAAAAAUGUAAUAUAAAUUGUUUUAUUCUUCAGUUUAUUUUAGUUUUUUAGUACCACUCUCUGAAUUAUAC
rnacentral:lncRNA from 1 species